GCCAGGUGUAGGGAGAGGUGGGUGGAUGGACGCCCUGAUGGGGACAGGCCAGGUGUAGGGAGAGGUGGGUGGAUGGACGCCCUGAAGGGGACAGGCCAGGUGUAGGGAGAGGUGGGUGGAUGGACGCCCUGAAGGGGACAGGCCAGGUGUAGGGAGAGGUGGGUGGAUGGACGCCCUGAAGGGGACAGGCCAGGUGUAGGGAGAGGUGGGUGGAUGGACGCCCUGAAGGGGACAGGCCAGGUGUAGGGAGAGGUGGGUGGAUGGACGCCCUGAAGGGGACAGGCCAGGUGUAGGGAGAGGUGGGUGGAUGGACGCCCUGUAGGGGACAGGCCAGGUGUAGGGAGAGGUGGGUGGAUGGACGCCCUGUAGGGGACAGGCCAGGUG